rnacentral:rRNA from 1 species
CACCGGAGGGGGGCGCCCGCGCUUGUCUUCAAGCUGGAUUUCGCUAAGGCGUUCGACUCCAUCGCCUGGCCGAGCCUUCGACGGAUCAUGGAGGUCCGGGGGUUCCCGGCUCUCUGGUGUGAUUGGAUGGACCUCAUCCUCCGUUCCUCCAAGGCCGCGGUCCUCCUCAACGCCGUGCCGGGGCGCUGGUUCGUGGUUCGGAAAGGGAUGUGCCAGGGAGACCCCAUCUCUCCGUACCUGUUCCUCUUGGUCGCGGACGUUCUCCAACGCAUGAUCAGGGGCGACGGGGCUCUUUGUCACCCCUAG